rnacentral:lncRNA from 1 species
CUGCCCAAAACCACGGGGGUAGUCGGCUGGGAGCACCUGCGGGGAUGGGGACUGGGGGGACACGGGGCGCACUGCUCACCUUUCAUCCAGUCGACCACCUGGCUCGGCGACCACUUACUGACGGGCUCCAUAAUGAGGGCCAUGGGGGCUCGGCUGCGCGGGGCUCGGGCGGCCGCCGCUCUCCGGGUGAGGGGCGAGGCUGUGCGCAGCGUCGGGAGCGUUCUGCCCUCAGCCGGGGCCGCUCCUCUACCCGAAAGAGGCAAAAUCCCCGCUAAAGCCCCGCUUGCCUCCGCUCCGCUCCGUUCCGCUCGCUCGCCGCCUCUGUUCCUCUCUAGGGAUUUCAGUUCAUGUUGCCGGCUCGGCGGCAAGGGGGAGGAGGAGGAGGAGGAGGAGGAGGAGGAAAAAGGAGGGGGAGGAGGCGGUGGCACGCUCCGACGCCUCCCGCCCCCGCGGCCCCGCUGGCGGCUCCCGGCCCCGGCGAAGGCUCUGAUGCCCGGCAGCGGAUCGGGGAGCGGCGGGGUUGAGGCUGUGUCCGCCGGGUCUCCGCGGCCGCAGUUCCUGCACGCGGGGUCUUUUUCUUCUGGCGGAAAUGACGAGGUGGCUCCCGUCACCCGAAAAUAUCUCCCAGAGCGAUGGGAAGCGGCACCCGAAGGCCUCCCGGGGCGGGGGGGAGGUUGGGAUGAGUCGCUAGGCUAAGAAGUCCAAAGGAGAGCUGAAUGACUUUUCAUACUGACCUGCUUAAACUGAAGUGUCUCAGCCAAAGUGCCUUAACCAAAGUUUUUCAGCUGUUUUCAUCUUUUAGUUUAGUGGCCCCAUCUUGUAGUCACACCUGCAUGAGUCAGGACUUUUAUGUACAGCAUAUGGGGCAGGCUUCUGCACAGAUGCUGAACUGCAGAAUUAUGUCCUAACUCAUCUUUUAUGAUUACUUCAGUCUGCAUAAUGCAGUAAAAAUGACUGCGGUGUAUUGGUUUGUGUGGGGUUUUUUUGUUUGUUUGUUUUGUCUUUUUUUUUUUAAAUCUAAAUAUACAUGUCUUUAUAAGGAAACUCUUAAUGUAUUAUGUAGCAAAUGUAAAAGCAAAUGCACAGUGAAGCUCAAUAUUCAAGGAAAAAUUAUAGAAUCAUGGAUUGGCUUGAGUUGGAAGGGAGCUUAAAGCCCAUUUAGCCCCAACCCCUGCUGCCAUGGGCAGGGCUGCCCCUCCACCAGCUCAGGCUGCCCAGGGCCCUAUCCAACUUGGCCUUGAGCGCCUCCAGGGAUGAGGCACAACAGCUUCUCUGGGCAGUUGUACUAAGGCCUCACCUCAGUCUGAAUAAAGAAUUUUCUCCUGAUACCUAACCUAAAUCU